UGAGAGUUAACUCAGUGGAAGAGUGCUUGUUUCAUACGCAAAUAGUCGGGGGUUCGACUCCCUCACUCUCAA
rnacentral:tRNA from 1 species